rnacentral:rRNA from 1 species
GAUGAACGCUGGCGGCGUGCCUAAUGCAUGCAAGUCGAGCGAACAGACGAGGAGCUUGCUCCUCUGACGUUAGCGGCGGACGGGUGAGUAACACGUGGAUAACCUACCUAUAAGACUGGGAUAACUUCGGGAAACCGGAGCUAAUACCGGAUAAUAUAUUGAACCGCAUGGUUCAAUGGUGAAAGACGGUUUUGCUGUCACUUAUAGAUGGAUCCGCGCCGCAUUAGCUAGUUGGUAAGGUAACGGCUUACCAAGGCAACGAUGCGUAGCCGACCUGAGAGGGUGAUCGGCCACACUGGAACUGAGACACGGUCCAGACUCCUACGGGAGGCAGCAGUAGGGAAUCUUCCGCAAUGGGCGAAAGCCUGACGGAGCAACGCCGCGUGAGUGAUGAAGGUCUUCGGAUCGUAAAACUCUGUUAUUAGGGAAGAACAAAUGUGUAAGUAACUAUGCACGUCUUGACGGUACCUAAUCAGAAAGCCACGGCUAACUACGUG